UUGGUCAUUUAGAGGAAGUAAAAGUCGUAACAAGGUUUCCGUAGGUGAACCUGCGGAAGGAUCAUUAAUGAUUGCGAAUCGUUGCCUUCAGUGCUGGCUGGCUUCGGCUUUGGCAAGUGCACGUCGGUGACUUUCAUCCAAUACCCUGUGCACCUUUGGCCUCUUGCUAGCUUCGGCUGGCAGAGGAUUUUACACAAACUCGAAUGUAAUGAAAUUUAUUGUGUGCGCAAGCACUAAUGUACAACUUUCAACAACGGAUCUCUUGGCUCUCGCAUCGAUGAAGAACGCAGCGAAAUGCGAUAAGUAAUGUGAAUUGCAGAAUUCAGUGAAUCAUCGAAUCUUUGAACGCACCUUGCACCCUUUGGCAUUCCGAAGGGUAUGCUCGUUUGAGUGUCAUUGUACUCUCACACUCCCAAUGCUUUUGGAUUGGGAGCGGUGGACUUGGGUGUUGCUGCUUUGCUGUGGCUCGCCUCAAAUGGAGUAGUGCAACUCUCGGUUGGACAUAGUACGGCGUGAUAAGUAUCUUCGCCGGCGCCUCACUUGAGGGUGGCUGAUCGGGAGCUCUGUGCUUCAAACCGUCUUCGGACAAUCUUUGACAACUUGACCUCAAAUCGAGUAGGACUACCCGCUGAACUUAAGCAUAUCAAUAAGCGGAGGA
rnacentral:rRNA from 1 species